ensembl:lncRNA
UACAAAUACAUAUAUCAACUAAAGACUGACAAAGAAGCAUGACGCAAUGCUUUAAACUGGCCAGAGGGGUUGAUGCCCUGAACAUGAAAGUACUCCCAUCCUGCGAAUGGCGGAUGAAGACCAUCUGACUGGGUUGGACAAGGACAGGGACAUACUUGUUCCUUCAUUGGGCCGAGGCUCCACUGUGUUUAUCGGCUAAUCGGUAACCUUUUCUGAGUGCUGUGGAGAGUGUAUGGUGGGUUUAUCAGAGCCUGGUAAUGUGGGCAAAAACAAAGAGCUAAAAAGAAGUUCUACUAAAGUUUUAGUAGAAUUGAAGAAAACCGCAGGGUUGGCUGGCGACUGACUGUGUUUUUUUCCCGCACAGACGCCACUCCCUCACUUCAUAUUACAGAUAUUAAUAUGGGCCAUUAUUAAAACGACAGCAAAGUUUGUGCAGCUCUGAAUUGAUUUGUCCCAAAUUCCGUUCAGCCUCAUUGCAAGAGUCGGAAAUCUCAAGAAAAUAAAUCAGCUUCACUUUGAAACAACACAAAAUAUGAAAAUUGACGGGUGAUGUGACCUUUUGAUACACGUUAUCAGGUUGCAUUUCCUAUACGAGAGUCUUAUCCCGUAUCUAGAGGCGGUGUGGCUAUAUGGGUACAAUGGGCAGGCUCUGUGGGUGAAUAAUGCGUGGUGGUUUAUGUUUGUGUAUGUGCUCAUAUUUCAUUCUGUGAUAGGCCUCGGCUGUUUUCACUGGAUAAAUAUGUACCGUACACCUACUCUUUUCCCACACACACUCACGGAACAUCAGAGAGAUUUUUCCCAUCCCUUUGUACACAAAUAGCGGCGGAGCACUAUAAAUGAACAUCCAAAAUGCAACCCAAUUACUACGGUGUCCCUUUACUCAACUUUUUCAUAUUAAGCCCCGGUUGUCAAACAGAUUGUCUCCGGUGCUCCGAGCAGCUCGCGCCGUGAAACUGUUUUUUAUUAAGGGAGGAUUGCCAUGGGCCUUAGGCUGGUGGUGUAAUGUAAUUUCACAGCUCAGCGUCCGUGCAGCCACUUCAGGGUCCAACCACGGCCACCCACACCUUUAAAAGAGCCACAAGAGGCGCUGAACGGGCGACAGGCCGCUAGAAAGCUUUAGGAGCGAGGGGGGAGCCCCAAUAUGAAAUUCCUGCACAGGAAAUGACUUCAAAACAGCACAACAGCCCGUAAGGCUUUGGAAAUAAACAUGCAGGGAGAUAGUCCUCGUUGAGGGUUUUUGUAAUGAAACGUGGGGGACGGUGAGACAGCGUUAGUGGAUUAUGGAAAUGAUCAGAGAUGCAUUCUACGAUUUACUUUUGCUAAAGCUUUUCCAAGCUAUAUUGAAAAGAAAAGUAUCAUGUGAAGAAUGUUAGAUAAACUCAUAUCGUCUGUUGAAGGAAAGGAUACAGAUGCUUAGGAAGAUGUUCAUAAAGGACAGAACUUACGUGCAUCGUACCUAUUGAAGUGAGGACAUUUCCUCAGAUAUGCACAUGUGUAUUUGAACGGUUUUCUGCAUUGACAAACCUACAUAAUGGACUGGUGUUACACACCAUUUUUGUACGGAUGAAAUCAAACAUAUCAUGCAUUAAUUAUGUUGGUAGACACAUUUGUUUUGUUUCGCGACUUUCUUUCAGAGUCUCUGUGCUAAACUUAUUACCUUUUAACACAUGGCUAACUUGACAAGAAACCACAUUGUACCCCUCAAAAUGUCAAACCUCUUGUUUGAGCCUGGCGCUGGAGUCAGUACAUGUUUAGCGUGUAUACUGGAAAUAGGGGGAAACAGCUAACUGGCCGGCUAGUUAGUUGGUGUGCCGAUAAACAGAUUUUUAUUAAUAUGAUCUAUUAUUUAAUCCAGACUGGUUGUUAUCCCACCUCCAUUUUUUAAUUUCAACAAAUAUCCUGACCCCAGCUAAACUUAUAUAUUUUUGGAAAUAUGCUUAUUUAUUGUUUGUUUUUGUCCAAGAAGAUCAAUUUCACUCACAUCUCUACGUUCAAUAUGAAGCGAGAGGUGGUUAGCUUAGCUCAACUUAAGGACUGAAAACCAGUAGCAUGACUUUUUUCAAGGGAGAAAAAAAAUCCCCUACAAGCACCUAUAAAGCUACCAACAUUUCCAAACUUAUGGCUAAGCUAAGCUAAUGGUUUGCCAGCUCUAGCGUCAUAUUUACAGUACAGACUGGAGUGUGUUCUCAAUCCCAUGCCAAUCUAUGCUUGAGUGUGUCCUAAAAUCUUGACCUAUGCCUUUGACAUGUGCCCUUUGCAAAUAGCCCCAUGACGUUAAGAUAAAAGUGUAAAUAGGGGCAACAAGCUCCUGGCUUUGGUGUAAGGUAACAAAUGAAUCUACCACAACCUUUAAAGCUUACCAAUGUUCUAUCUUCAUUUUUGCCUUUUUGUUAAGAUAAGAUAACUAGCCACUACCUAGAGCUACAUGUUUACUGUACAAUACAUAAGAUAUAAGUGUCAUAUCAAUCGUCUCAUGUCAUUAUCAGUACAUCACAAAGGUUUCUACCUAUUCCUUUGACAUGGCCCCUUUGAAAGUAGGCCCAGAUUCACAUGCCGAUUCUCACGUGACAAUAAAGCUGCGCACACUCACACAUAUAGACCCCCACACGCACAGACCUACACACGCACACACACUCACGUAUACAGACUCACACACACAUGCAAGCACCCACCCACACACCCACAUACACGUGUGCACACACACACAAACGACUCAUGAUGUUGGACAAAUUACACCUAAGGCUCCUUUACCAUCUGCUCAUAAUCCAGCAUAUUAACUCGUUACAUCACUGGUGGACUAAGUUUAUUUAAAAUAAAAGAACAAAGAGCAGAGGUAUAUUCUUUGUCUACAAUGAACCAAAGUAGUGGCUGCAACAACGGAUGACCCAGCAAAUGAGCAAAACACAACAAUCAGCCCAACCUUCACGUUACGAGUUACGAACGAGAGUCGCUCAUGCUUAUUCAGUGUGUCCACUGAGGUGUGCAGCCUCUUCAUUUAAUAUUUCCAUAAGGUUGCAUAUGAGGGUACGCCAGGCAAUCCCUGUAAUAAGGAGGUAAUGUAUUCUGUGCCAAUGGCAAAAAGGUACGCUUUAAACAUCCCUCACAGGAGCAGUGAGUUUUCUACUUGACAGUGGACACAUACAUAAUUAAGCCAACUAGAAAAAAAUGAAUAUUUCAUCUCAAAGCAUUUUCAUCUCCAAACAUCAAAACACCUCAACGUCUCACAUAAUGAGCAAGGUAAAUCAGUUCUAUUCACAGAGGGAAUAGGCAACAAGGAGUGCUCACUCAAAGCACCUUGCUUAAAAAAUAGAUCAGCUCGGGAAGAGGGGAAACUCAAAACACUUCUCUGUGUAUGUUUGCCAGAAUACUCUGUGUCCUUGGAGGAAGCGGCCGUUUUGAAAUUUAAAAAAGAGCUAAUUCUUUCCUGGGAUUGUUUGUCUAACCAUGUCUUUUUUGUGCAAAGCCAUAAUUGUGUUAUUAUGUUAUAUUACAGCGUCAGCCUUAAUGCUUUGUGGCCUGAUCUGACUGUAACUCAUACUGACCUGUAAUUCACGACAUGUCAUCCGUGAGUCGCCGGAGGACUUUUGGCUUCACGGAUAUGCAGGCGCAUGCCAAUGUAGAGGAUAAAUUGUUCCAUAACGUUGCCGCAGUAGAGUUUUUACUAGUGUGGUCCACAUAAGCGCCAGCUUUUCUCCAUUUCUGCGAUGGCAUCGACACUCUGAUAGGUCUGAGCUUCCGAAGAAUAGCUUGUAAAUUAUAGCUCUGAAAUGGCAGUGUGGUAUGCGGGAGGGGAAAGGAGAUGCUGUGUUUAGUGCAGCAACAGCAGCCCCCCCGCGCUGGAGAGAAUUACUUUGACCGUCAAACCCUGACUCAGACUUGCUCCCCGAACACCUUCAUAGAUAGGGAAUUAACCUGCCACAGCUUGAAACGCUUUACUGAGCGCUGGUCGAUACUGUCAUUAUCCUAAAGCAAUUCUUAAUUCUAUUUGGCCCUGAGCUAAAGAUCCUUGUAUUGAUCACAAAGUACCGAUGACACGACUACUUUUUUUCACUGUGUUAAAAAAAGACAGCUCUUAUAAGUCCAAUGCAGGGCCACAUGCGCUACAGAAGAGAAGAGUAUCAUUUUGAAUGUUGGAACAUGUGUUUCAGUGUGACACCUGAGUAUUUAACCAAGUGUUACAGUUACAAGGCACCAAUGCUAGUGAGUGAUCAAGGGUAACAGAAAAAAAGCAUUUCUCUUUCAUAUCCUGUUUUGAGAGAUGAGAGAUGUUGAUAUUACUUGCCGAGCUCCAUCAGCAUGAAACGGGGCCCUUGAGAAAUGCAGUGGUGACAACACCUGUACUGCAGUUCCUGGUUGCUUGCUGCUUGUUCUUUGUUCUCGAGGCUUCUGACAAAUGCUGCUCGAAAGAGACGGAGAAAGACACAGAGAGAAAUCCUGAGCAGCAUGAAACUGAAUACAUCUUUUUCUGUCAUUGACACACACACACACACACACACCCACGCACAUGCAACAUGGCCACCUGUCACAGACUAUACACUGAGGCCUGUGACAGUGGUUAACAGAACAGGACAUGUGUAGCCCCAGGUGACUCAAAUUGCAAAACUAACAACACCAUGCUUCAUUGCACCAAGAAAUACCAGUAAGAAGGGCGUGUGUGUUGUGCGUGUGUGGUGUGACAUUGUCAAUUCACAUGCAUGUCUAAGUGCUUUAGCUCAUGGGUAUACAUCAGUGUCACAACGGAUCCUUAUAACGCAGCCUUUUUGACAUACAGAGACAUUUUUAAUUAAUUAAUUAUGUUGGGACAUCCAAAUAUGAACUUCAAAUGGAUCUGUAAUCAUGUAAUCAUUACACAAAGGCAACGUGCACAAAGCAACGUUUAAAAAAGACCAACAUCUACUCUGAGAGGGCUCUAUACCAGGAGGCUUCCCUCCUGAUGAAAACACACACAUCUGAGUUAAGAUCACAAACUUUACCAACCUUUCACCAUUCUUUUUCAUUGGCAAUACAAGAAACUAAUUCUGAAAGGAUGCAACAAGUACUAGCCAAUCAGAAGCAGAGUAGGGCGGAUCUUUGCAGAAAAAAACAAAUAUCAAACUACUGUAAAUAACAGGUGGCACAACUGCCGAUGGCUGUGAAACAAAAAAGCACUGUUAAUUGACGUUGUGUACCCCGGCUCUGUUGUAACGCAAUAAUUCAUAUUGACUUAAAUUGAAAGAAGACAAGAGAAAAAAAUAUUUUUAUCAAUACAUAAAUGUUUUACCUAUGUAAAUAGUAUUCUUUUUUAUUUUUUAUUCUAGCAGUAAGAAUCAAAUUUUAGUGGGAACAUUUGGCAGUAGCAAUUACAGCAGCAUGAGAAGGGAUGCUGCUGUUGGGCCCCUGACCAGCAGCACUCCUAUGACCCUCCAUUCAUUCACACAUACAUCAUGUGUGUAUGAAUAAAGCCUCUAGGGCUCCUCCACUAAACAAGGCUAAGCCUUAAGAUGGAAGACUGGCUUUGGCAGGAGUUUUGUCCCUUAUUUUGUAGUAUCUGGUAUCCUUUUUUGGUCAUGUGACACAUUAACAUAUGAUUUGAGGAACAACUUCCUCCUGGGACUAGAAGGAUCAUCUAUGUCAUAGUAAUAAAUACAAAUAUGCAAUAAAUGUAAUAUAGUAUAAAGUAUAUUUGUGAGCCCUUUUCUCCCUGGCAUCUCCAUCUGCUUGGUAAUCCAGCCUGGAUUGUUAAACUGGUACCUAGACUACCUGCUAGUAAACAAACUACUCGAAUGCACGGAGUAGAUACACUGUAAUAUAGAUAUUGACCUGUUUUAAGGAGAAUGUGAAUUUAACUAUGACCUGAUCCAUUUUACAGCUACAUGUCCUAAUAUUCCGCGUGUCCUUUAUUCCGUCAUGCGUUUUAGGCCCACAGCAAACCCUACACAAACAUGGCCGAUGGUAAAUACGAGAGGAAGAGGGAUUGACAGCUAAUCUGAGUUUAAUAUUGAAAUAAGCAUCAAGAGAGGAAUACAUUGAUCGUUGCUUAAAAUGAGCACCAUCUCCAAUGUAUAAUGCCUCUCUCAUGAAAAAAUACAGUCACGUGUAUAGAAUGAGAAUAUAUAUAUAUAUAUAUAUGACAAUCACACUGACGCGGGCCUGGAACCCUUCCAGAAGCGUGGUUCUUCCUUAAUGUUUUGUAAUCUACUAUCUUAAAGGGAUACUCCAGUGAUUUAGUUCUGAAACAAGUAAUAAGAGUUAUCUUUUUUACUUGAAGGGGACAGAUUAUGAAAUGUGGUGGCUAAUUGUAAACAGGUGUGGGUGGGCUGUAGCAUGCAAUGGUAGGGGGAACACUGGAUUAAUUUCAUAUAUGAAGACCGUGUCCUUGGCUAGAAUUGGAAAAGUCUGUCUAGUUCAAAGCGAUAUGGUUGCAAGAGUGUAUCAAUGGAAUGCUUGGAAUCACACAAUAUUUACAUUUCUAUCACAGGUCAGUUGACAAAUAUUUAUUCAUUUGUAACCAUUUGUUUUUUACAUUUCAUGAUGACACAGGCGAGGUAUGCUAUGCAAGGCUCGGGGGAGUGUGGAUGGGGAGGGUGCAGAGGGGUGGGGGGUUACUGGCCCAUUAGAAUUAAGUCAUUGUGAGCAGAGCUAUUGUAGGCAGGCUCAAAAGCGUGGCGUUAAUAAUGAUCCUUGUGGUAUUUUAACCAAAUUAUGUUUUAGACGUUUCAAUCAGACCACAAAGAACCAUAUCAACGUGUUGUAAAAGGGCAUAAUAUGGCUCCUUUAGGUUUCCCUUGCCUCGAAUUCAGUGGGUUUUCAAAUAUUUUUUAGACCUCUAGAAUAACGUAUAUAUGGUUAACACAGGCUUAUGUGGUUUAAUGUUUUUGCAACAUUAAAUAAUUUAAUAAAUGCCCCUUUCAUUCAUUUUGAAGAGUAAAAAAGGCUUCUUCUGCUGAUUGCAUUUAGGUCAUUUUGGAAGAUUAUCUAUAUGUACAAAUUGUGUAAGUAUAAUAUGCCUGUGUUUGCCACAGAGUGUAUUUUAUCCAUCAAUUAAAAAUCCCAUUGACUUUUGUCCUUGGAACUAGUUCAAUGUUUACUUCCGGGUUUGGCCCAUCAAAAUGCGCCACUACUGCUUCAAUAAAGUUGAGAGAACAUGAUUUGUA